AUCGACCUUUUAUAAUAAAUAUUAAAAAUUUUCUGACAUCUUCUCUGAGGUGAUAAUGCCUUGAAAUCAUUUGGAUUUUGAUAUUCCUUAUAUUUAACAUUAUUUUAGAUAAUAACGGGUCUCUACUUAUUGUGAACCCAUUUAGUUUUAGUUUUUUAUUAACCACCCAGCUAUUAGUAUAGAAGAGGGGCGUGGCCUACGGGCCAGGUUAGCGUGGAAAGACUAUAACGUCCUAGUUGGGGACUAACCCCCCCACCUCUCGGACCCCUCCGCAUAUUAGGCAGAAAGAACUUAAUUUGAUAUCUGGUAUCAAUAAAAGCAUCUAUCUUGAAGCAGCAUGGUGUAAUUUAAAUUUUUUUGUGAACAUGAUAAGGACGCCAUUGAAAAACAAUCUGGCUUCUCUCUCACUCCUCUUCCUCGAGGAAGAACAUAUUUAUACAAGCAUAUAGCUCACUUGUUAACCAAUGCUUUUCAUAAGAUAUUGUAAAUGAAACAAAACUCCGUAAUAUGGGUCCACAAAGGGCACCUGGUGUGGGUAGUACCACUGGGUACUCGCCUAACCUUGGAGGCAGUCAACAUAGGUGCCACAUCACACCAACAUUGCCAAAUGUGCUUCUUGCAUAUCUAGCAUUCAUAUGUAAAGAUAAAAUUAUUAUAUUGUAAUUUUUCAGUUCAUAUGCAAAUUUGCCAUGAACAGUAUACAUUAAUUGUUUUUUUAAUGGGUAUUAUGUUGACUUAAGUGUAAGACCCAGAUGCAUUACAUUUUCCCAGGUAUUGCUGUGAUGUGUACAGUAAUGAUCACCUGAAAUCAUUUACUUUGCAGGUGUGGUUCAGUGCUCUGGCUGUCAACUUCUUUGCCAUUGAAGAUUGCCGGAGUAGGAUGUUGUUAACCCAGGUGUGUUGACAGUUGCUGACGUUGACCUAAGAUGGAAGAAGAUGGCUGUUAUAACUUUCUCUAACUGGACACAAAUCACAUAGGUGUGGACUUGAUGUGAACUAGGCUAAAGUGAGCUGGACCUGAAGUUAACUGGACCUGCAGUGAGCUGGACCUCAGGUGAACUGGAACUAAAGUUAACUAAACCUGAUGUUACUGGACCUGCAAGUAAAGUAGACCUAAAGGACUAUCUGGUUAGGUUUAUCAGAGCCAACCAUAUAGAGUCAUCUGACACCACCAUAGUUUCAUCUAUCAACUGCAGCUGACCCCAACAUGAAGGGCAUUUCAUCCAUCAACUGCAUCAGAACCCCUUUCCCCUACCCCUUUAGAGCGGGGGUCAGAAGUCUGUUCUGGGAAGUACCUUACUCUCGGAGCAUUAUAACUCUGGGUUUAUGGCUCGGACAUUUCUGUAUCUGGGAUAAGGAGCUUCCUGGAGGAGGCGACUGGCCCUAGGAGCAGCAAUUGCUGUAUCUAGGUGUCAGCGUUAGGCUGCUUAGGUUCCCUUUUUUUUUAAGGAUCUUCAGGCGUGCCUCUUCAAGGAUAAACUGAAUCCUAGGACAAGGAGAGCCGGUCCUGAAGCAGAUUGGUACCAUUUUUUUUAUCCUUUUGAGCUGGGGUCAGGGGGCUUCUUCCUAGAGGUGAUUGGCUUUUGGACCAGCAUGCUUGUUUGUCCAGUGGUUCCAGGAGUCAGGAUCCUCUUAGGGGAGAACCUUGGCCCUCGGACCUGGCAUCAGCCAGGUUCAGGGACUCCCCUUUUUUUCUCAUCUUAGGCUCAGUCUAAGGUGUCCUCUCAGUUCAUAGUGGCUGGGGCACUGACAACAGUUUACCUCACCUUAUGAAUCUGUGAAGGGCACCUAAGACUUCUUUCACAGGAGCUGUUGUAUCUCCUGUCUUAGAAAUCCAUUGAUAUCUAAGAUCAGAGAUAAAACCACACUAGUAUGAAAGAAGUCUUAGGUGUCCUUCACAGGUUCAUAGGGUGAGAUGAACUGUUUUCAGUAUCCCAGUCACUAGGAACCUAUGGAGGUGAUCUUAAGGCCAAGCCUAAUUCCAAGAAAAGGGACUAUGUCCCUCAGAACUGGGGGGUGGGGAUUGACCCCCCAUCCAUAGGGGGGGAGAACCCU
rnacentral:lncRNA from 1 species